GACGAACGCUGGCGGCGUGCUUAACACAUGCAAGUCGAGGGAGUCCAGACCUUCGGUCUGAGGCGACCGGCGGACGGGUGAGUAACACGUAAGUGAUCUAUCCUCAUGCGGGGGAGUAACCCGGGGAAACCCGGGCUAAUACCGCAUGGUCGGACUGGCUGCAUGGCCGGACCGGGAAAAGGUGGCCUCUUCUUGAAAGCUACCGCGUGGGGAGGAGCUUGCGGGCUAUCAGCUAGUUGGUGCGGUAACGGCGCACCAAGGCAACGACGGCUAGCGGGUCUGAGAGGACGACCCGCCACAUUGGGACUGAGACACGGCCCAGACUCCUACGGGAGGCAGCAGUGGGGAAUAUUGGGCAAUGGGCGAAAGCCUGACCCAGCGACGCCGCGUGUGGGAGGAAG
rnacentral:rRNA from 1 species